UGGGGAAUAUUGCACAAUGGGCGAAAGCCUGAUGCAGCAACGCCGCGUGAGUGAUGAAGGCCUUCGGGUUGUAAAGCUCUGUCUUCUGGGACGAUAAUGACGGUACCAGAGGAGGAAGCCACGGCUAACUACGUGCCAGCAGCCGCGGUAAUACGUAGGUGGCAAGCGUUGUCCGGAUUUCCUGGGCGUAAAGGAUGCGUAGGCGGAUACUUAAGUCAGAUGUGAAAAUCCCGGGCUUAACUUGGGAACUGCAUUUGAAACUGGGUAUCUAGAGUGCGGGAGAGGAAAGUGGAAUUCCUAGUGUAGCGGUGAAAUGCGUAGAGAUUAGGAAGAACACCAGUGGCGAAGGCGACUUUCUGGACCGUAACUGACGCUGAGGCAUGAAAGCGUGGGGAGCAAACA
rnacentral:rRNA from 1 species